rnacentral:misc_RNA from 1 species
CCCUCUCCGCGUGAGGGAUUGCAGUGGAAAGUCCGCCCCAAAUCCCUAUUGGGUGGCCUUGCAACGAAAAGCCCGGUCCCAU